UUCCAGACUCCUACGGGAGGCAGCAGUGAGGAAUAUUGGUCAAUGGGCGGAAGCCUGAACCAGCCAAGUCGCGUGAGGGACUAAGGCCCUGCGGGUCGUAAACCUCUUUUGCCGGGGAGCAGUGGUCCGGACGCGUCCGGACCGGGAGAGUACCCGGAGAAAAAGCAUCGGCUAACUCCGUGCCAGCAGCCGCGGUAAUACGGAGGAUGCGAGCGUUAUCCGGAUUUAUUGGGUUUAAAGGGUGCGUAGGCGGGCAUUUAAGCCGGCGGUCAAAUGUCGGGGCUCAACCCCGUACUGCCGUUGAAACUGCAUCCCUUGAGUGCGCGAGAAGUAUGCGGAAUGCGUGGUGUAGCGGUGAAAUGCAUAGAUAUCGCGCAGAACUCCGAUUGCGAAGGCAGCAUGCCGGCUCCACACUGACGCUGAGGCACGAAAGCGUGGGUAUCGAACAGGAUUAGAUACCCUAGUAU
rnacentral:rRNA from 1 species